rnacentral:rRNA from 1 species
CCUACGUGUGUGCUGCAGUGGGGAAUAUUGGACAAUGGGCGAAAGCCUGAUCCAGCCAUGCCGCGUGUGUGAAGAAGGCCUUCGGGUUGUAAAGCACUUUCAGUGGGGAAGAAAGCCUUGGGGCUAAUACCCUCGAGGAAGGACAUCACCCACAGAAGAAGCACCGGCUAACUCCGUGCCAGCAGCCGCGGUAAUACGGAGGGUGCGAGCGUUAAUCGGAAUUACUGGGCGUAAAGCGCGCGUAGGCGGUCUGAUAAGCCGGUUGUGAAAGCCCCGGGCUCAACCUGGGAACGGCAUCCGGAACUGUCAGGCUAGAGUGCAGGAGAGGAAGGUAGAAUUCCCGGUGUAGCGGUGAAAUGCGUAGAGAUCGGGAGGAAUACCAGUGGCGAAGGCGGCCUUCUGGACUGACACUGACGCUGAGGUGCGAAAGCGUGGGUAGCAAACAGGAUUAGAUACCCGAGUAGUC